UCUUACUGGGACUAGUCUAGUAGGGGGCCGCAAUUGUUUUGUCAGCGAAGGGGGUCAGAAUGGCCAGGACCGGUCCUGCUUGUAGGCGAUGUCAUGGCGACAUUGGCUAGUUACGCUCAUGUAUAGAAACACGUCCUUGGGUCUAACGGUCAUCUUGCACAGAACUGGCACUCCUUCGAUAUACAUUUUUUUUUUUUUACGAAAAUAAAUAAAAACUUGUCAGUUUGUCACUUUCAUUCGGUUUGAGUAAUAACAUGCUCGAAUCUAGGUUGUGCCUUUAGAUUUUGAGAAAAUUAACAACUAAGGAAUAAUUUUCAACGUCUCUCAUUGACUUCUCGAAACCCAAAUCCCGGCCUGGUCCGUUUGGUCUGUUGCUCAAGCGUUCCCGGAAAUCUCGCGAUGUUGCGUAUCUGGGUUUAAAAACUCUGUGGUCGUAGUGCCUGUAAAAACUUCCCAACGAAGCAAGACAGUUGUGAAGAAAACAUUCUGCGAGCGGCGUCGCACUGUCGGAAAUCCUUCUCCUUUGGGACAGUUUUGUCACAUCUGGGAUCGUGAAAGGGUUGUGAAAAGGUUUCUGAGAAGAACACGAGUCAGGAGCAGACUCUGAGCCUAAGCAGCAGCAGGAGAAAGGAGGGAAGGAGAAAGGAGGGAAGGAGAAAAAGGCGAAGG